rnacentral:rRNA from 1 species
GCGUAUAUUAAAGUUGUUGCAGUUAAAAAGCUCGUAGUUGAAUUUUGGGCCUGGUCGGGCGGUCCGCCUUCUGGGUGAGUACUGUCAUCGUGCCGGGUCUCUUCUUCUGGUGAGCUAGUGUGCUCUUUAUUGGGUGCAUUAGGGAACCAGGACUAUUACCUUGAAAAAAUUAGAGUGUUUAAAGCAGGCA